UCCGAAUUGGUGUAGUGGCUAACAUUUGACGCUCUCACUCACUAUUUUCGUGUGCCGUCAAGCCCGGGGUUCGAUUCCCCGAUUCGGAG